UUCUAGCGGCGGACGGGUGAGUAACGCGUGAGCAACCUGCCUUUAUCAGGGGGAUAACGCAUCGAAAGAUGUGCUAAUACCGCGUAAGACCACAGCUUCACAUGGAGCGGGGGUCAAAGGAGCAAUCCGGAUAAAGAUGGGCUCGCGUCCGAUUAGCUAGUUGGUGAGAUAACAGCCCACCAAGGCGACGAUCGGUAGCCGACCUGAGAGGGUGAUCGGCCACAUUGGAACUGAGAGACGGUCCAGACUCC
rnacentral:rRNA from 1 species